UACGUAGGUGGCAAGCGUUGUCCGGAAUUAUUGGGCGUAAAGCGCGUGUAGGCGGUUCUGUAAGUCUGCUGUGAAAGUCCAGGGCUCAACCCUGGGAUGCCGGUGGAUACUGCAGGGCUAGAGUACGGAAGAGGCGAGUGGAAUUCCCGGUGUAGCGGUGAAAUGCGCAGAUAUCGGGAGGAACACCUAUUGCGAAGGCAGCUCGCUGGGACGUUACUGACGCUGAGACGCGAAAGCGUGGGGAGCAAACAGG
rnacentral:rRNA from 1 species